GCCCUGAGCCUCUGUGCUGCAGGAGCAAUCUUCAAAGAUUACAGAGCUCUUUCCAGGGGGCUGUGCAUUCAAGCAGAGCGGAGACAACAUGUCCCACUCCUUUCUGCCUGUCUGCCCUUUGGCCAGAAUGAAAAGGGAAGAAGCAGGGAAAGGAAAAUAAAGGAAUGGACAACUUCGGCAGGGAAAUUUAUGAGGAGUCGUAUGAAUCAUGAAUCGCUCUACUGAAACCCUAGGCUUAAAUGCUAACAGCAGGGGUGUGAGAUUCAGGCCCAUCCACUGGAAGACAAAACACUGCCAACUCUGAAAACACUGGAAAGGUGGGGAAUUUG
rnacentral:lncRNA from 1 species